rnacentral:rRNA from 1 species
AAUCCAUAGGUUAAUGAGGCGAACCGGGGGAACUGAAACAUCUAAGUACCCCGAGGAAAAGAAAUCAACCGAGAUUCCCCCAGUAGCGGCGAGCGAACGGGGAGGAGCCCAGAGCCUGAAUCAGCAUGUGUGUUAGUGGAAGCGUCUGGAAAGGCGCGCGAUACAGGGUGACAGCCCCGUACACAAAAGCGCAUGUGCUGUGAGCUCGAUGAGUAGGGCGGGACACGUGGUAUCCUGUCUGAAUAUGGGGGGACCAUCCUCCAAGGCUAAAUACUCCUGACUGACCGAUAGUGAACCAGUACCGUGAGGGAAAGGCGAAAAGAACCCCGGCGAGGGGAGUGAAAAAGAACCUGAAACCGUGUACGUACAAGCAGUGGGAGCCCCACCACCAAAGCAUUUGCUGUACCGCGUUGACGGAGCGAAGCGACGUCAAACCGAUAAAACAGCAGUGUAAAGUGAGCCGCAGGGCGCUUUGCGCGACAGCGCAAAGGCAGGCGGUUUCGCGUAGCGAAAGCGAAUGCUUUGGGGUGGGGUGACUGCGUACCUUUUGUAUAAUGGGUCAGCGACUUAUAUUCUGUAGCAA